GUACUGGGAAGAUAUAUUGAAAUUGAUUAUCGUGUAGUAAUAAGUAUAAUUAAUCGUAGUUAUAUCUUAAGAGAUUUAAACAACGCUGUUAAUAAUAAUUUAUUGUUCAAAGAACUGCACAACAUCGAUUUUGAAGUUUUGCCCUGAAA
rnacentral:pre_miRNA from 1 species